ACUCGAUAAUCCACGAAUACUCAACCUUCUCUUGAUAACCCAGCAUGUGUACUGCCGUUGUAAGCAUACCUUUAAAAGAAUAAGUGUGCUUUUAUGACUACAAAAAUAGCUCAUAUACAUCAGGUCAAAGUGCAGCCAAUAAGAAGGAGAUGAUGGGUUACAACCCCCAAAAUAGACUAUCAACUAAGAAAUAAAAAAUCUUACGAAAGUGGACUUGGCCGUAAUCAAUUUAUAAGUUAAAAAAAUGAAUAAAAAUCUAAGACAUGCACACAUCGCCCGUCACUCUAUCCUAAAGGUUAGAUAAGUCGUAACAAAGUAGGUGUAAUGGAAAUUGCGCCUGUCGGAGUAUAGCAUAUAUAAUGCUUUUUACUUACACUAAAAAUAAAGUUAAACAACUUACUUCGCACAUAAAACAAAUCUUCAAACACACAUAAAUAAUAGAAACAACUAAAUAAAAUUUAAACAACAUUUAAGUACAGAAAUGGAACCAACAAUAAAUAACAGUAAUAAUUAAUAAUUGUACCUCGUGCAUUAUGGUUUUACAAGAAAACAAUUAACAACAACCGCCCCGAAUUCUAAAUGAGAUGUUUAACUGCUGUUAAGAACCCAUUAGUAACUGUGGAAAAAGAUUUAAAAGACAGUUAAACAGAGGCUACAUACCAUCCGCAUAAGAAUAUAGCUGGUUUUCAACAAACAUUAUACAUUAAAACAUAUAAUAAAUAUUAUAGUGUAAUAUUAUUGAGGAUAAGCCCAAUAAUACAAGCAAUAUAUAAAACAAUCAAUUAUCUCCUAUAGGCCUAAAAUCAGCCAACCAAAAUACUUUACCGUAAUAAAUAAAGAUAAAAUAUAUAACCAUAAAUGCUAAAUAAAGUUGAAAUAGUGAACAAAUCACAUACCCCACUUAUAAUAUGUAAAAAUAAGUAUUACAAAAUAAUAAGAACAACAACUCUAAUAAUCUACAACAAAUAAAGAAACAAUAAUUAAUUAAGGAACUCGGCAAACUAUUAUUUCGACUGUUUAACAAAAACAUUGUUCCAUGAUACAUAAUAUGGGAUA
rnacentral:rRNA from 1 species